rnacentral:rRNA from 1 species
GGACUACUAGGGUAUCUAAUCCCGUUUGCUCCCCUGGCUUUCGCGCCUCAGCGUCAGGUGAGGUCCAGCGCGUCGCUUUCGCCACCGGCGUUCCUCGGGAUAUCUACGCAUUUCACCGCUCCACCCUGAGUUCCACGCGCCCCUACCUCCCUCCAGGCAGGCAGUAUUAAGGGCUGUUUUCCAGUUAGGCUGAAAGAUUUCACCCCUAACUUGCCUGUCCGCCUACGCGCCCUUUAAGCCCAGUGAAUCCGAACAACGUUCGCACGGUUCGUCUUACCGCGGCUGCUGGCAC